ensembl:lncRNA
UUUUCUUAUUCCGGCUAGAAAGACCUGCCGAGCUCACAAAGGUUCCUACCCUAUAUAGGCUGACCCGCCCAUCAAUCAGAUGCUGCCAUACAUCAUAAAUCGCCUCUUACAGGUAGUGUGUCUAUGUGUACAUCUAAAUAUUAAUGAUCUAUGUGUACAUCUAAAUAUUAGUGUCCUCUUCUCCAUUAAAUUCACCUUCCAUUUAACAACAGUCAACCAGUUCGUAUGUAUGUUACCCGGGCAGACAGCUAUGUUCUGAAAGUUUAUACUAACCUUUCAGAGAAAAUGUUUGUGUCCGCGAGCUUAUGUUAGCCUCGCAGAAUUAAUUUAUGCUGAAAGUUUAUACUAACCUUUCAGAGAAAAUGUUUGUGUCCA